rnacentral:rRNA from 1 species
GAGUUUGAUCCUGGCUCAGAUUGAACGCUGGCGGCAGGCCUAACACAUGCAAGUCGAGCGGUAGAGAGAAGCUUGCUUCUCUUGAGAGCGGCGGACGGGUGAGUAAUGCCUAGGAAUCUGCCUGGUAGUGGGGGAUAACGCUCGGAAACGGACGCUAAUACCGCAUACGUCCUACGGGAGAAAGCAGGGGACCUUCGGGCCUUGCGCUAUCAGAUGAGCCUAGGUCGGAUUAGCUAGUUGGUGAGGUAAUGGCUCACCAAGGCGACGAUCCGUAACUGGUCUGAGAGGAUGAUCAGUCACACUGGAACUGAGACACGGUCCAGACUCCUACGGGAGGCAGCAGUGGGGAAUAUUGGACAAUGGGCGAAAGCCUGAUCCAGCCAUGCCGCGUGUGUGAAGAAGGUCUUCGGAUUGUAAAGCACUUUAAGUUGGAAGGAAGGGCAGUAAAUUAAUACUUUGCUGUUUUGACGUUACCGACAGAAUAAGCACCGGCUAACUCUGUGCCA